ensembl:lncRNA
UUAUUCUCAUUGUCUUUUGAGCCAGAUUUUACACCCUCUACAACUUGCUUCUCUUGAAAGCGUUUUCCCCGCCGGCCACGCACCUGCUGCUUCUCCCUGUGGUUCUGCUGCCUCCGCUCCUCUCUGCGCAGGCUCACGUUCUGCCCAGCGAAUGACGUUCUUUCUUAAAGGCCCAACCGCUCAGCGAUGACUCCAGAUAGAUUCCUUAACUGAACUUCAGCGGCUGCCUGCCGUUCAGACCUCUAAGACAUCGUCUUUUUGAAGUCUUCUACCAACAGAUCUCGCUGAGAAACAAUAUGAAAUAAAAAAUACUUUUUCCUCUAGGAUUUUUUUAGUAACCCAAGGGUGCUGUGUUUUCUUCUUGGUCUGCGUGAUAAGAAGAGUAACAGCUAAGGACAGUAGCACACAUGUGUAAUUCCAGAGGCUAAAGCAGGAGGAUUGCAAACUUGAGUAGAGCCUGGGCAAUUUAGAAGCUUAGCAAGACCCUGUCUCAAAACAGAAAACAGAAGAAGGAAGAGAUACCACACAGCAAUUACCUCUUAUGAAACUACUUUUUGGUAUAGAUGCUAAAGAAAACUAUUCACAAUUCUCUGGAAAUACUGAAAUGUUCUUCUUUUUGCCAAAAGCAUAUCCUUAGGAGGUCAAAUCUUCUUUAUAUUUCAACCAAAAAUAGCAGAUUGGAAGCAAAACCAGGUAAUCUUUUAGCCACAAUGAAUAUUGAAGAGAAGAGAAGGCAAGGGACAGAAGGAGAGAGUAUACCAAGAAUUAGAAGGGCCUGGUACAUGCUAGGAAAGCACUAUACCAUAGAGCUGUGCCCCCAGCCCUCAUGCUUUAAUACAAUCACCUGUGCCAUUGUCUCGAGAGGUGCCUGGAGGAGGUGAGAGAUUUGUUAGAAAGACUGUGUUGAUAGAUGAUGGUGGAUUUAAGCAGGCUGGAGCAAUGGAAGAGGAGUUAACAAUAUAACCACAAGCCUGGAAGUCACUUCAAGGAGUCCUAGUCCACCUUCCCACCCAGCCUUCCACCAACUCUGAGCAACCGGAAAAGGAAGUGUUAUUGCUCAGGUGUCCUGGAAUUCUUUGGGAAGGUGCAGACAGAGCGAGGUCAUGGAAGUCAUAAGUAUUUGGAAUGAAAUGGGGAACGA